rnacentral:rRNA from 1 species
CCCUUAGAUGUUCUGGGCUGCACGCGCGCUACACUGAAGCUAUCAACACGUUUUCCCUCCCUGAGAAGGGCGGGUAACCUUUUGAAUCAGCUUCGUGGUAGGGAUCGGGGCUUGCAAUUGUUCCCCGUGAACCAGGAAUUCCUAGUAGACGCGAGUCAUAAGCUCGCAUCGAUUAAGUCCCUGCCCUUUGUACACACCGCCCGUCGCUACUACCGAUUGAACGUUUUAGUGAGGCAUUUGGCCCGACGCAUCUCAGUUUAACCGCUGGUUUGUGUUGGAAAGACUUCCAAACUUGAGCGUUUAGAGGAAGUAAAAGUCGUAACA